rnacentral:ncRNA from 1 species
GUGGGGGGACGACCCCCCACACCCCCCGAUUCGCUCCGCUCAACCAAUCACUGUGGGGGGACGACCCCC